UACGAAGGGUGCAAACGUUGCUCGGAAUUAUUGGGCGUAAAGCGCACGUAGGCGGCCUAGCAAGUCGGAAGUGAAAGCCCUCGGCUCAACCAAGGAAGUGCUUUCGAAACUGCUGAGCUUGAGUACUUAAGAGGAUCGCGGAAUUCCCGGUGUAGAGGUGAAAUUCGUAGAUAUCGGGAGGAACACCAGUGGCGAAGGCGGCGAUCUGGGAAGAUACUGACGCUGAGGUGCGAAAGCGUGGGGAGCAAACAGG
rnacentral:rRNA from 1 species